AUGGCUCAGAACGAACGCUGGUGGCGUGUCUUAUACAUGCAAGUCGAGCGAGGCAGCAAUGCCGAGCGGCGAACGGGUGAGUAACGCGUAAGCAAUCUGCCCCAUAUCAGGAAAUACCCGUGCCAACGCGCGGUUAAUGUCCAGGAGAGUGGCCCUCUGCAUGGAGGGUUGACUAGAGAUUUAUCGGUAUGGGAUGAGCUUGCGUCCGAUUAGCUAGUUGGCGGGGCAACGGCCCACCAAGGCGACGAUCGGUAGCCGGCCUGAGAGGGUGAUCGGCCACAUUGGGACUGAGAUACGGCCCAGACUCCUACGGGAGGCAGCAGUAGGGAAUAUUGCACAAUGGGGGAAACCCUGAUGCAGCAACGCCAACCGUGUGGGAAGAAGCAUUUCGGUGUGUAAACCACUGUCAUGAGGGAAUAAGGCCCUUAUUCGUAAGGGAUUGAAUGUACCUUGAGAGGAAGCACCGGCAAACUUCGUGCCAGCCGCCGC
rnacentral:rRNA from 1 species